rnacentral:snRNA from 1 species
UUGCUUGGGUAGCACCGAUACUAAAACUAGACUGAUACAGGUGAUUAGCAUGGCCCCAUGCACAAGGAUUACACACACAUUCAUGAAGCAUUCCAUGUUUUU